CCCAAAUGUCUUUCCCCCCCCGUAUCUUGAUGGGAUGGAUUUUAUAUAUAAGAAAUAUUUAUUUAGCUAUUCUGUAAAAUUAUCUAGUGCCUGCUAAGGCCUUUGAGCAUCCCUCCAUCCUGUUGCGUGGCAUAAAGCAGCAGCUGUACGGUGUUCUGGGGGCUCACUCAGAAGCUGCACCCACUCGGGCCCGUGGGGAUGAGGGACCUUAUCAAAGGUAUCAGGUUCUCAUCCCUUGACUUGUGUGAGGAAAAAAGUGCUUUCCUUCCUGCCACCACGGACUGACAUGGAAGUCUUCAGAUGGAACGCUGACCCCAUGUUCUUACUGUAUUUUUCAAGUGCCUGGAAAAAAAUAUUUUCAAAAACAAUACUAGUAAUAAUAAAAGGAAAAAAUAUGCACUAACUUAACAUGGCAACUACCUUAACAACAGGCAUUGGUGGCAGCCAGUUAAGCACCAGUGGCCCUGCUGUCUGUGAUCUUACCUGUUCCUCUUGUUUCUCAACCAUUUCACACGUACACUACUGAGGUAAGUUUAUAACUUGAAAUGUGA
rnacentral:lncRNA from 1 species